GCUAGGGUGCCUGAGGGUCCCCAAAGCCACUCUGAGCCAGUGGCUUGUGAGUUCAUUGUCUGCUGCCCAAGAAAAAUAAAACAAACACCGACAAGGAGUGAACCAAGGGAAUGGAGACUUGUUAAGAAAAGAGCUGCGGAAAGUGAACCUCAUUCUAUGUGAACUUGCCGAAGGUGAUGGAGUGAACUUGGCCGAGAUUCAACAUCUUAUCCCCGAAAAGGUGGAGAAACAUUUUUCUCUGAGAACACCACUGGCAAGAGAGCAGGAGCGGAUAGUGGUGCUGUCCAACCGCGAGGGAGCUACUCUCCAGAUCCGGCCCUCUUGUCCAGUGAUACACUAGUCUGCCUUUGACCGUGACAAUAUUGCUUCCGGCCACCUGACUUUGGGAUUUUAUUAAUUCUGAAGUCACGAAAUUCAGCUGGGUUCCAAAGCAUU